rnacentral:piRNA from 1 species
UGUGAUGUGAAAUAAGUCAGGCACAGC